UACGUAGGGUGCGAGCGUUAAUCGGAAUUACUGGGCGUAAAGCGUGCGUAGGUGGUUCGUUAAGUCUGAUGUGAAAGCCCUGGGCUCAACCUGGGAAUGGCAUUGGAUACUGGCGACCUAGAGUAGGGUAGAGGGGUGUGGAAUUCCAGGUGUAGCGGUGAAAUGCGUAGAUAUCUGGAGGAACAUCAGUGGCGAAGGCGACACCCUGGACUCAUACUGACACUGAGGUGCGAAAGCGUGGGGAGCAAACAGG
rnacentral:rRNA from 1 species